UGUCCAUGCCCUCCUUGGGGCGUUUCCUCCCUAGAUUUUCGACCGCCUCCGGGCGGUCUUUUUUUAUACCUUA
rnacentral:sRNA from 1 species